UGGGUACUGGCCAUGUCUCUAUAGCUACUAUCUUCUGGGGGUCCACUUCCACUCCACCCUUGGUGAUGAUAUGACCUAAGUACGAAAUGCGAUCAAGCCAAAACUCGCAUUUACUGAACUUCGCAUACAACUGGUGCUCUCUGAGAAUCUGAAGAACUAUCCGGA
rnacentral:rRNA from 1 species